UUGAUGCAAGGAUCAAAGGCACACACACUGCUGUGAUCUGGGAUCUCAUUGCAUAUGGGUGGUGGUGAAUCCUCUCAGAUGUGUGGGAUCUUCUCUCACUCUCUCCUUCUUGUUUGGAUUCUGACAGACACAUAUGUAGAAACUGUGAUGGACUGCAUCAAGAUUAACAGUCUAAACUCUAGAAAAUUUCAACAUGGAGCAGAAUCCCAAAGGAAUAUUUCCAACAUCUUGUGGAAUCAGUACCACGAUAAACUGAGGCUGUUUGGAGAGUAAAAGCAGAUCCCAGAGGUGCACAGAUGCUUCUUCGUACUGGUCGACCAACCUGUGGGUGUAAAGAUAAGUUGCAUGGAUCAUCUUGGUUUAAGGAAAGUCUUUUGCAACUCACAUUGAGCCAGAUAUUAAUGCCUUAGACUGACCUGACAUUUUGAUCACGGUCUGGCCCCACUAAUUUGUAAAACUCGUCAAAAGCUGCGAGGUCUGCAUCCGUCAGCAGUGGUGAUCCACCCACUCCCUGCUUCAGGUCCUGUCGCACAGUCUCGUCUCCCAGUCGGUCCAGGAUGAACUGCAGCUCCAGAACCGUCUUCAGUCUCCUCUGCUCUGCCUCCUCGCGCUGCAGCUGCUCCCGUCGUGCAGACUUCUUCACCACCUUCUGGAUCUAAUGACCACAUACACAAGUCACGUUUAGCUGCUUCAGAACAAAGGCCACUCUGAGGGAACAUUAUAAGAAAACCACAGUCAGCCUUACGUCUUGUCCCAGGGCAAUGAGAGUCUUCUGCAACUCUCGGGCGAAUUCCAAGUUAUACGUGAUCUCCUGGAAUUUGGAGAGCGCCUCCUAAAUAAAUGAAGAAGUAGACAUUUUACACAUUGCUAGGUUGUAAAAUAUUUAAAAUUGACAGGACUGUGUGUUUAUUUACAGACAGAUGCAGGCUUCAGUGUACCCACCAGCUGGUCCUGAUUGAGUCGCUCCCCUUUAUCCUUCCUGACUUGAUAAUCGUCCAGUUUGCCCUGUGGAAGACCAAUCAAAACAAUACAUUCAACACAUUGAGGGGAGAAAAUCUUGCUGCCUCUGAGUAAGAGAUGUAGCUAUAGUACAUGUAGCUAUGUAGAAGAUCUGGAAGAAAUGGCUGUCAAAGGUUCCUUACUUUUUUCUUCUCCAUGUUGCGGACCUUCUUGUCGAUGACACACAGCACUUGCUUCAGGACUUCUGACUGUCCACCAAGUUGAAAAUUGCCCAUAAACCCUGGAGCGGAUCCCACAUCUGGGCUGGCAGACUGCACUGCUCUGUUUGCAUUCAUCGCUGAGGGCAUCUAGAAUGUGAAGUAUGAAAGGAUAUGUUUAGACUGCAAUAAAGAGGAACUUUA